rnacentral:lncRNA from 10 species
GUGUAUUCAUAAUUGCUCAUUGAAGCAGUUUUAUGAUGGUACACGAGGCUCUCUCUUCAAUGGCUAUAAAAUUUAUAAUCCCACCAGCAUUUAGGAAAGGAUCAGCACAUUAAUGAGAAUGAAUAAAAGAUGUCCAGAAUACAGAAAGAGAGUGAAAUUUUAAAUAAGACUGUCAAGACGAGUCUUACUGAGAAGAUGGAACUGGAGCGAAGACUAAGAGAAGGUAGCUGAAAUACAACAUCAUAAUUUUUACUGGAAAAUAGCCACAAUGAAGGAACACCACAAUUUCACCAUGAAAACCAGCACAACCUUACACAGAUGACAAACAUUUCCCCUCAAAACUUGUUAAACUGUAUUUGGGCUGACCAAAUUAACCAGAGUUAUUCUAUUUAUGGGGGAGCAGGAAGUAACUUGAUAAAAUGCUUUGAGUUUAUAUAUCAUGUCAAAUAAAUAGCAUAAUUUUAAAGGAAAAAAACUUGUUAGGCAAUGUUCUCUUAUUUUCUGACAUCACAUAUUGUGACAGAAUGUAAGGCCAACCUGGUUUUUACAAAUUCCGUGGUCUAAUUUUUUUGUUGUUGUUAGUGUAUAAAAAUAGCA